AAGCCAUGAUUAGGACAUCUCCUUAACAUCACUUUAAAGCGUUCCUAAACUUCACAAAAAGGUUCUUCUGGCCCUUGCCUAAAUGUGGAGAUAUCAGACUUAGCCU
rfam:Phaseolus vulgaris cultivar G19833 unplaced genomic scaffold scaffold_214, whole genome shotgun sequence.